rnacentral:rRNA from 1 species
UGCCAGCCGCCGCGGUAAUACGGGGGGUGCAAGCGUUAUUCGGAUUCAUUGGGCGUAAAGGGCGCGUAGGCGGUCGGGCAAGUCUGGUGUGAAAUUGUCACCGCUCAACGGGACAACUGCAUCGGAUACUGCUCGACUUGAGUGCGAGAGAGGUGAGUAGAAUGAGUGGUGUAGCGGUGGAAUGCGUAGAUAUCACUCAGAAUACCAGUGGCGAAGGCGGCUCACUGGCUCGCAACUGACGCUGAGGCGCGAAAGCGUGGGGAGCAAACGGGAUUAGAUA